AUUGAACGCUGGCGGAAUGCUUUACACAUGCAAGUCGAACGGCAGCACGGACUUCGGUCUGGUGGCGAGUGGCGAACGGGUGAGUAAUGUAUCGGAACGUGCCCAGUCGUGGGGGAUAACGUAGUGAAAAUUACGCUAAUACCGCGUACGAUCUAUGGAUGAAAGCGGGGGAUCGCAAGACCUCGCGCGAUUGGAGCGGCCGAUAUCAGAUUAGGUAGUUGGUGGGGUAAAGGCCCACCAAGCUAACGAUCUGUAGCUGGUCUGAGAGGACGACCAGCCACACUGGAACUGAGACACGGUCCAGACUCCUACGGGAGGCAGCAGUGGGGAAUUUUGGACAAUGGGCGAAAGCCUGAUCCAGCCAUUCCGCGUGCAGGAUGAAGGCCCUCGGGUUGUAAACUGCUUUUGUACAGAACGAAAAGGCUUCUACUAAUACUAGGAGCUCAUGACGGUACUGUAAGAAUAAGCACCGGCUAACUACGUGCCAGCCGCCGCCGUAA
rnacentral:rRNA from 1 species